rnacentral:rRNA from 1 species
AGCAGCCGCGGUAAUUCCAGCUCCAAUAGCGUAUAUUAAAGUUGUUGCAGUUAAAAAGCUCGUAGUUGAAUUUCGGGAUUGACACAUCGGUCGUGCCUUAAGGGGUAUGAACUGGUGUAGUCAAUUUCUCACCUUCUGGAGAACCGCGAUGUCCUUAAUUGGGUGCCGCGAGGAACCAGGACCUUUACUUUGAAAAAUUAGAGUGUUUAAAGCAGGCAUUUUUGCUUGAAUACAUUAGCAUGGAAUAAUAAAAUAGGACGGCAUGAUUCUAUUUUGUUGGUUUCUAGGAUCACCGUAAUGAUUAAUAGGGAUAGUUGGGGGCAUUAGUAUUCAAUUGUCAGAGGUGAAAUUCUUGGAUUUAUUGAAGACUAACUACUGCGAAAGCAUUUGCCAAGGAUGUUUUCAUUAAUCAAGAACGAAAGUUAGGGGAUCGAAGACGAUCAGAUACCGUC